AGUCUGACGGAGCAACGCCGCGUGAGUGAUGAAGGUUUUCGGAUCGUAAAACUCUGUUGUUAGGGAAGAACAAGUACAAGAGUAACUGCUUGUACCUUGACGGUACCUAACCAGAAAGCCACGGCUAACUACGUGCCAACAGCCGCGGUAAUACGUAGGUGGCAAGCGUUGUCCGGAAUUAUUGGGCGUAAAGCGCGCGCAGGCGGUCCUUUAAGUCUGAUGUGAAAGCCCACGGCUCAACCGUGGAGGGUCAUUGGAAACUGGGGGACUUGAGUGCAGAAGAGAAGAGUGGAAUUCCACGUGUAGCGGUGAAAUGCGUAGAGAUGUGGAGGAACACCAGUGGCGAAGGCGACUCUUUGGUCUGUAACUGACGCUGAGGCGCGAAAGCGUGGGGAGCAAACAGGAUUAGAUACCCUGGUAGUCCACGCCGUAAACGAUGAGUGCUAAGUGUUAGAGGGUUUCGGCCCUUUAUUGCUGCAGCAAACGCAUUAAGCACUCCG
rnacentral:rRNA from 1 species